AAAAAAGAGUGUCGAUCGUUGACAAAGAAAAGAACUUUUGAAGCAACGAUGAGCGAAGGUCCAAAGCUCGACAUCAACAAACCCAAAAAUCACAACUGAAAGAAUUUCAAGAGCACCAAACAAAAACCCAACGAGCUAGUUUCUUCACCAUCAGCAAUGGUCACUCAUGAGUCUUCAGCUCUGCCACCUCAGCCACCACCAAAAGAGUCAUUUUCUCUGGCCUAUGCUCGUGGCUGUCAAUCUUGCUGUUGGAGCCUGCCUCUUUGUGUGGACAAAGAAGAAAGAUGAGCACAUAAAAGAAGAAGGUGCAACUCCAGUUUCAAUCUCCCCUGCUAAAACUGCUCCUAUUGCUGAAAAAACCUUACACUCAUCAUCCGUCACAAAACCUGUGAAGUUGCGGGAACCAAUUCCAGAGGAUCAGCAGCGUGAACUUUUCAAGUGGAUGUUGGAAGAGAAAAGGAAGAUCAAACCAAAAGAUCCUGAAGAAAAGAAGCGCAUUGAUGGAGAGAGCCAUUCUCAAACAGUUUAUUCGAGUGAAACCU